CAAAAAAAGACAGUUUAUCAGUUGCUUCCUGUAAUAUCAUCAAUAAGUUUUCCAACAGAAAUUAAAGAAGAUCCACCAUCAACAACAGCAUUCCUAGACAUCUCUUUCAUCUCUUGAACCUUCUUGUGUACAAUGCUAUCUUUAUCCAUCAAAUCCUUCAAUCCUUUCUCAAUCUCCUCGGCCGCUACAACAUCACUACCCUUUCUAUAGUCCACUCUCAGUCCCAAACCUACCCCCCAUUCCUUCACCAACCUAAAAGCAUUAAGCUGUUGUUCUGCAUAAAUAGGCCAUGUCAAUAUUGGUACACCAAACCACAUACUUUCCAAAAUAGAAUUCCAUCCACAAUGUGAAACAAAUCCACCAAUAGCCUUAUGUGCCAAAACCUCAACUUGUGGUGCCCAUCCACAUAUCAUUCCCUUACCUUCCAAUUCCAUCCAUUCUAAAAACCCUUCUGGGAACACUUUUUUCUCUGCACUGUUAGACCACAAGAACCUAACCCCACUAUGCUUAAGUCCUAAUGCUAUCUCUCUUAUUUGAGAUGGACCAAAGCUAACUCCCAUGCUUCCAAAACAUAAAAAAACAACUGAUUUAUCUGGCUGCUCAUCUAGCCAUUUCAAUAUAAGAUCAUGCUGAGCUUGAUCCAAUUUAGGGUUAGGCUGACCUUUGAGAUCUAACAAAGGACCAACAGCAUAGAUAGGAGGGAUUUUCUCAUCAUGAUCAUAUAAUGCAUCAAUAGAAGAUUGUUCCAAAUCUGAAAAGGUAUUAACAAUAAUCCCUUUGGUGUCUCUAAACCUCUCAGCUAGUUUAUAAUAAGCAAUAUAUCCACCAUCUUUAUUAAAACAAGCAUCAGGUAAAACAUUAGAAGGAACUUGGUUUGAGAUACCAGGAAUAUUCAACAACUGAUGAUCACGGUCGGAAUCAUCGAAAACUUCUUCGAUUUGGCGGUUUUUAAGGGAAAGCAUGAGACUUAAAAAACCAACAUUUGAUGUUAGAAACAAAUAAGAAGGGAUACCAAAUUCAUUUCCAACAUCAAUCAUUGAAACACAAAAGAAAUCUAGGACUAACCCAACAACUUUGUUUGAUAAAAUGGUUUUGAUAGUUGCUUUGACAUGAGGUAUGAGACUCUCCAAAAAAGUCAAGAUGUAAAAUUCUGGAGAUUUUAGUAGCUCUUGUGGAGGUGGUUCUACUUCAGGAAGAUCAAUCAGUUGAAUUUGUGGUUGUGAGGCUAAAACUGAUUUGAUAUAUGAAUCUGCAAAGGGCAUGCCUGGAAACUUGAUGCAGAAGACUGUGAUGUAAAGAUUUUUGUCAUGGUUGGUUAAAAGUUUUGCAAAUUCAAGAGCUGAAGCUAAGUGGCCAAUUCCUGGUGCAGGAAUGAAGAUGAGUUCUGAAUUCUUGUUUAUAUCACUCAUAGACAUUUUCUUUGUUCUUUCUGUGAAUUUGUGGUUGUGUGGGGUGUGGGAGUGUCUUUAAAUAGGUGAAGCAGUGUGUUACUAUAAUAUUUACAUGUUUAAAAUUAUAGUAACAUUAUUAUGUGUAUAUUUUGUUAGUAAUUUGAUGCACCAAAUUGUCAACCUAUCAUUUUCCCACAUUUAAGAACCCAACUAACCAAUAGAAAACACAGUUGAGGAUCUCACUAAGGAAAGAAAGGUUCAAAAGGUAUUUUUGUAAUUUUGAUUAAGGUUAGGUACUAUAUAGUUCAUGACCACAAAUCACAAUGAUCAUUUACUCCUUUAAUCAGGACCACACCUUUUUGCUGGUAUCCAAUUAUUUAGUCACCAGUGGAGGGCGUGCAAUUAUUAUGUUACAAGUCUUCUAAUAUGAUCUACACAAAAUAUCUUUUGUAUAACGAAAUACAAAAGGGGUCAUGUCUGUGAAAUGGUGUAGGAAGUCAAAAGAAAAAAUGUUAAGUUGAUAAUGACAUUUUUUUAAACUUUUGAUGCGUUGAUUGUACAACUUCUAAUGUAAAUACUACUAUAUUUGAUUCUUUAACCUGUGUUUAAGGCAUUGGUUA
rnacentral:lncRNA from 1 species